rnacentral:ncRNA from 2 species
UAUUGCACUUGUCCCGGC